rnacentral:lncRNA from 1 species
CGUGUUUAGAAUAUUAGUCUUAUGUCUUCGUAUUAAUUAUUUUUUAUAUAUUUAACUUUGAUUAAGAAUAUUUAAAUUUCAUAUUCAAUAUUAGAUCGAGACCUUUCGAUUCCGACCAAAGGUCAAGAAUCGCCUGAAGUCAAAGUACUGUAUCUUGUGCCUUUACUGCAGAGUCAGGAUCUCAAUCCGCCCAGGCGUUAUAUCAUUGCUUCAUUAUCAGGCUCAGUAAAGAAAACAAAUGCAGCGACAAGAACAAUAAACGGUAGUGACCACUCACUCUGGGAAAUUAACUAGUUUGUCGACCAGGUAAAUAACUGGUUGAUCCAUUUCCGGCGGCCAUUCAUCCAUUUCCGGCCAGUCACGUUUGGUAAGGCGCCGAUGGUUAGUCCCACCUGUUAAAAAGUAAAACUGUAACCAUUUCGUUUCUCUCACAAAAUCAUCCAACGAUAUCAACAAAAAUAUAAAUACUGUUUCAAGAGUCUGCAGGUGCGAAAUGCAAAUGGUAUGUUGUAUGUGUAAUGUAUUUUAUAAAUAAAGAAAUAUUUAAAUUUUAUUAAACUAAUUUUUGAGACAAUGGUUUUAUUUCUUAUAUAUUGUAAAAGAUGAACUUGAGUUAUCCACCACAGAAGUAAUAUAAAUUUUACGCUUCCAAAUGCACUAACAAAUUUUAUUAGCAAUAAUCGUUGUUUAUUAUCAAACCACACCUCUAAGAACUAGUUAACAACAAACAUCCAUUAAAUUUAGGAAAAUUAGAUCACUUUUUUUAUUAUUAAUUUACACAAUAAAUGGCCAAUUCAGUAAAAAAUAUGAUCUGGAUAUAACGAAUUCAAAAAUUCAUGCUUCCCAAUUUAACCUAAGUUAACCUAAAUUAACCUAUAUGAAGGUAAGAGCAUCACCAAAGACUGCCAAAACCAUCCCAAUCCCUAAAAUUUGCUAUACAUGGGAUUGAGAGGGCUUUAAUAAAUUACUCAUUCGAUCCUCGGUACAUAUAUUUUUUUGCAACUACCAAAAAAUCUCUCUCCUCUCCCUCAAACCAAGGGGAUUCAUCCCUCUCCACUACCAAAGCAAUAAGGAAGAGAGAGAAGGGGCGGGGUGGUGGCUGAUUGAAGAUGCUUAGUUUGGCUACCCAGAUGCACGUAGCUUCUUUUCGAGGCUGCUAUGAAUAAGUUUUCCCCUGCUAGAAGCCACACAUAUUUGAUGAUCUACCCAGGGCUCAUUGUGAACUAUACAUCAAUAAGAUUCUCUUAGAAGCAGGGGCAGAGUCAAGAUUUGAGCAUUGGGGGGAGACAAUUAGAAAAUGACCUCGUAAAAAAAUUCAAGGACUCUAAUAUAGCACGGAUGACAAAGGUAUUCUAAAAACGAGUCUGCCACCAUAUAUUCUAUCGUAUAUGUAGAAUGGGUCCUCCUACAUGCUGUCACGUGAUAGUGGUUAGGUUGUAUGACCUGAACAUAUAUAGAUUAAUUGGUUACAGAUUGAUGCUACUAAUUUGGUUUUUGUCAGACUAUCCAGUCACAAACUUGAAUCAAUUGUUUUCUUUUUCUCCGUGGGCCAGUGUCCAAAAAAAAUUGUGCAUUGGCUAGCAAGAACGAAUCAUUAAGGUCUCAUAGGCUAAUGAUGCUUGGGCUAAUUGUGAGUCUUGCUUAGUGGGGGCUCUAAUCAUAUAAUUAGAAAAAUAAUUUAGGGGCUCCUGUGGUUGGGGGCCCAGGUCACUGCCCCCCUGGUGGCUCCGCCCCUGCUUAGAAGAUUCAAAACCUGGAAGUUUAAAAUGAGACUUAUGGUACCCUAUAACUGUGAUAAUCAUUUAUGAAAUAGUAUAAAAUAAGAAUCAUGGUAGUCUAAUGUUGAGAAUCAUUUGUGAUAAUACCUUAUCCUAGAAGGCAUCUAACUAUAACGGUAUGGGGAAAUGCCCCUUCACUACCUCUAACUAGUCGAUCAGUUUUGUUGUUGACGUGUGUUAGAGGGGGGUGGCGGCGGCAAUGUUUGAAAAGGCUAGAUACGUAGGUGGUCGGGUCUUGUCUACUGACGCUCAGGCAUGCCUAGGUAGUCAUACUUUUUUCAGGCGGCUAGAGUUAUGAGUUAUGACAUGCUUGAUAGUUUGGAAAUUUGGUAUACUAAAACAAGGAAUUUGACAUAUUUUGCAUCCAUGAGUUCCAAGGCCAUAGGCCAUGCAUCUUCCUCCAUCUCUAAUCUGUCAAGCAUAAAUCAAGCCUAAACCACCUGAGGUGGGGAACGCUAGACACAACACCUAGACACUAGGUGAGGUGUAGCUGCUCUCCUUAGCUCCUCAUGAAAUAGAAGAUGAUGGCGAAUUUGAUUGGGCCACACAGUCUUCAUAUUCAAAUUUCGUGGAUCCCCUUCCUUUUUCUGCUGCUAGGUAAGUGGCUAAUUGUAAUUUGGUAUGUUAUAAUGUAGGGUUUCAAGGUGAUCAUUGUUGUGAUUUUUGCUCACUUUUUUAUGGUGGAUAGAGAUGAUGAAUUGAUGUUAGGUUGUAGGUUGUAUCUUAUUCAGUUUUGUUAAUUCAACUUGAUUGGGACGUGAUCAAUUUGGUCGAUUUGAUAUUCUAGAAAAGUCUAUUUUACUAUCUCAAAUAAUUUGUUUUGCCUGCUUGACGCCCUGAAUAAAAUUUUCACUCAAUUUACUUUCUCAAACUAUUUCAAUUGAUCCAAUCUUCUCCUUGAUUGACCUCCAUCCCCCUCUUAGGACAAGACCACCUAGUUCCUUUAAACAUAGCACUUGCAGCCUUCUCCGUCGUGUUGAUUAAAUUUUAGUUCACCCCAUACCAAAAUGAUUUAGGUACUGAUAAUCCUAUGCACAACUAAAACCUUUUAAAACUUAUUCAAAUGUACAAAAUAAACUCCAUAGCAUGAGUGGAAAUUUUCAAAAAAAAAUUUAAGAUUUUUAGCAAUUUUUAGAAUGUGAAAACUAUAGCUUUGGUCACAUCAGCAUAUAAGUGCCAUGCCACACUAAACAAUUCUAAGUUUGAACCAAGGUUGAAAAGUUAACGGUUUAAUAGUUGGUGGUUGAUAAGUGAGCGAUUUCAAUGCUGAGGGUUGAUAAUUAUAUUCAACCCACAUUGGAGGGUUGUAAAAUAGACUUUUCUAGCUUAUUUUUGGGCUGCCUUGAAUACUGGGCUCCUAUUGGAUGGUAUCUUGAGAGAGAGAUUGAGUGGUAAAGCAUUGGCCCUUGAUAGUAACUCAUUGAUUGGCUAACAAAUUUAUUAUUUACCCAUUGGAGUGUAUUUCAUUCGUAUUUUCUUCUUUCUAUUGUUGAUGCGACCUAGUAAAGACUUGUUGUCUCUAUUUUGAUACUCUAGCAGGUAUAACUAUACUGAAUUAAUAUAGCAAUUACUACCAAUUGGAACUGCUUAUCAUAGACACUCUAUACCAAAUCCACUAAACAAUCAAAUCUAGGCCAAAUGGUAACUAAUCUUAAUUUGACACAUGAAUCUAAGUUUGGGAACAUUCAGGCUGAUUGUUUAGUCAAUUUGGUAUCGAUGACAACAUUCACAUUGUUCCUAGGUUUCUUUUCCCUCAAUGAUAGCUUCAUGGCCAAGGCUACGUGUCUACAUUCUCAACAGUGAUAUCACCAUGUUGCCUAACCAUAGUGACCAACUACACACUAAUAUAUAUUGACAUGAAUUCCCCAGCAGUACAAACCUGGGAACUUAUAUAUACAGGUUUGAAAACAAAAAGUCACUACAGAUGUAUUAUAGCAAUUGUCAAGUUAUGGAACAUACCUUCAAAUGUCGAGGGAAAAUGGCGAUGCCUCUAGAUGUGCCAAUCCAUGAUAGUAAAUCUAGGCUUUCAGAGAAAUCUGCAUUCCAUUUCGAAAAUUAAGUUACCUAUGUUUUGUUUUUGCCAUUGUUGUUCCUAGCUAGAUUUUUUUAAGAUAUUUUGCAUACCCUAGACAAACCCCCAGCCAUCAAAGGUUGUUAAACUGAUGUGGAAUUUGUUGUAGUUGGUACCUUUCGAGGUGACUUUUUCUGCAUCGAGAUCUUAUUACAUUAGUAUAGACUGUAUUCCAGAAACCCUCACAAAAUCAUCAAUAAUCAAUCGGUAAGGAAGAAAAGUAAUAAUUAACAUCUUCAUAGUAGUAAAAUACAUAGUUGAUGUGAUAUCCAAAUAGUCGAAUAUGAAUAAUUCCUUCUUUUACACUAACAUGAAUAAUUCCUAAUAUGUAUUUUAUUCACGUGAAUAAUUUCUUCUUUUGCACUUGAAAUUUAUCAUUUUCGUAUUAAUUUUUUAAAAUGAGUUUGCAUCCCAACCUAGGUGACAAAGUAUGGGCGCACUAUGGAUAUGCAUCAUUUCAAAUUUUUUCAGGCAAUCAAAAUACAUUCUCUACAUUGAUUCCAUGUUUCCAUCCAAGUUGUGGUUUCAAAUACAUAUUUUCCCCAGUUUCCACUACAUAUUUUGUCCCUUUAUAGGCGCUACAAAAUGGAACAAAACCCCAGUGGGAUUGCACAACUAGUCAAAUAUUAUUUGAACUAAAGAUGUUUAUGUUAGUCUAUUACCAUGAUGAUGUUACACACAAGCAACAAUGUGAUAUGCUGAUUUAUUAAUAUGUCGUGACAAACACAAAUCUAAACAUCAUUACAAGGAGAACAGAGAAAGUAUUUACAAAUCAAAAACACCUUACUAAAACAACAUCUAGAUCAGGUUGUUUGGAGUAUGUUAUCAAAUUGAACCACCAAGCGAGUUACAAAACAUAUAUACCUAAAGAUUUCACUAGAGGGCCCUAACUCUAAUCCGCCAAGGGAAAGAUGACACAACAAAAUUGCGGAAAAAAUGAUCCAAUCCUGAACAUAAACCCAAAAUCCUUAUCAUAUCCUGCAAGAAAAGCAUUCAAUGAAGAGGGGGAGAAAACUAGAAUUUACAUGAUUUGCUUUAUUUUUCAUUUAGAGCAAACUUAUAGCCUACCUUAAGUUGCCAAGAUAUAAUUGCCAAUGUACUGAUUUAAGAUAUUUUUCUUAGUUCAGAUUUUGUAUAUAAUUAUAAAUUUGCAUUUCUCGAAGCUGUGAAAUUAUUUAAUUUAGCUUCAAUAUUUUGUGAAAUUGCAAGCUAUCCAUACCCUGUAUAAAAAUCAAACAACACCAUACCAGAUGAUAAAAUCCGUAGCUAAACACGCCAGGCCAGGCAUACUGCAAGCCACAAAUUAAAGCUCCCCACAAUUUCUUAAAAGAGCCUGCCACAUUAUGAUCCUAAUCUGAAAGAAAAUAAACAAAUAAAUUUAGUCAAAUAAAUUACCAACCACUACCAUUAUGCAAAAAUUAACAAAAAAUUCCAUUAUACCCUUAAUUAGAGAAAAUAAAAAAAUACUCCCUCUCUGUUAUUUUAGAGGUCGGUGGUAAUUUACUUCAGCCAUGCAUUCGAUUUGGGCGAGCUUAAUUUGACGCGAGGAAAUCAAUAGUGAAGAGAGAAGCUCAAUGACAGAGAUGACGUAAGGAAAUCAAUAGUCGAGAGAAGUGGCCGUGGUGGGCAGCUAGCUUGGUGAGGAAGGAGGACAGGAAUCAGGGAUUGAACCAAACAGCUGAUAUGUUAAACACAAUGGGGGCAGAGAGGUGCUCAAAGGCAAAGAUUCAAUGGUGAUACGAUUGACGAAGUAGUCAGCGUUUUGCUUCCAGGAAUCAUGCUAGCUCGGGGUCGAUCGGGUCCUCGCGUCGGCGUUGCAGUGCCAAUCGUCACUUGCGACUCCUGCACGGGACAGAGGCGGCGUUGAAGCGCAGCUUGGUUACGCCGUCGCGGACCUGAACGCCUGUGCUGAGCACCUGGCCGCGAUGGCGAUGUUCCAUGGAACAAGAGGAAGGGCCACAACUAUGCAUGACGACGACAGCCGCUUCGAUGGCAAUGUCGUUCUAAGUGACGACGAAUUGCACUGUGCAUGUAUUAUUGCCGGUUGAACAUGCUUAUCUGAUUAUAUUGGUCUGCCAACGACCAUGAUCUUGCAUGCAUGAAAAAAAAGGCUAGCUCACAGGAGUGCAACAGUCAACAUAACUGAAGAUAUAUAGCUUUACAUAUAUAGCUUAAGUUUUGACACGACAUUAGUUCGUAUCGAUAUGUUCAAAGCAGUUGGCUAAGAUAGAAAUCAAAAGAGGGUCUUUAUAUGAAGCUAUUUGCCAUAGUUAUUCUAUUCUGAAACAUCGAUUUAGACAGAAUCUCCCUAUAGAAAUACAAAAAAUAUAAUUGAGACAACAAAGGAGAGAACAUACAUGCACGGUUGUGGACUCUAGACGAAGCGCAAGAUGCAAGCAUUGAAAAAUUAGGCCCACAAGAACCGAUGAGCCAUGCAUGUACGAAAAUAGUUAGACUAUUGGAUUAUGUGCUCCAAAACAACUCAUGACAUAUUGAAGCUGUAGAAGAUAAGGAUCCACAUUCUAUUUUGUAGUCGCACUUCUUUUCUUUUAGCGUUAUUAGGGGGGGUCCGAUUUGAAGUGGCCAGGAGCAACAUAAGCUGUGGUUUUGGCACUAGAUUGGAGAGGGACUGUGUUGUUUCACGGAGUUGGGAACAGGGUGAGGUCGGCCAGGAAAAAGAAAGAGCCGGUAUUGUGCAUGGUGAAAAGAGUAUUACAGUUGGAGAAUGCUGCAAAGCCAAGGAAGGCGACUCCUUAACCCAAAGACAUGGGAAGAAAAUUAGUUUGCAUUGACUGGUAUAAAAUUAGUAUUUGUGAUUAGAAGUACCAAUAUAACACAGUGUAACAAGACUAGCCAUGUUAUUUGCGCGGUCACUUUGCCAGUUAUUCCAAAAAACAACAACUCUAGUGCUAUAAUAUUGUACAUGAUAUAAUAGCUGAACGACGUUUUAUUGUAACGGUUCCUGGUUUCUGACGAACCCGCAUUGUGUCUUACAGUUGAGUGGAGUGACAGUGUGAGAGAUGAGAUAGCCUUGAACCGGGUGAAGAAAUAAAACGAACAGGAGGACGAUGUGAUGCAACAAAAAUAACGACCGCGCUCAGGAACUAUGUAGAACCAAGAAGUAGCUAGCUUGUUGGAUUUUUUUCUUUUCAAAAGCUGGAUAUAUGCAUGGACAAGGAAUGCAUCUCUUUUCGGAAAGCUCGACAUGCCAUUGUAUGAUGCAAUGAUGCAUAUCACAAGCAAAGGAUCGGAACACGCUGGCUUCCAUUCAUUCUAAAGCAAAAGGUAAAGAAACG